rfam:Triticum aestivum genome assembly, contig: Triticum_aestivum_CS42_TGACv1_scaffold_592329_7BS
UUUGUACUUCCUCCGUCCCAAAAUUCUUGUCUUAGAUUUGUCUAAAUACGGAUGUAUCAAGUCACAUUUUAGUAUUAGAUACAUCCGUACCUAAAUAAGUUAAGACAGAAUUUUGGACGGAAGGAGUACAGU